AACGUAGGUGGCGAGCGUUAUCCGGAUUCAUUGGGCGUAAAGAGCUUGUAGGCGGCGUCAUAAGUUGGACGUGAAAACUCCGGGCUUAACUUGGAGAGGCCGUUCAAUACUGUGAGGCUAGAGGGUGUCAGAGGGAAGUAGAAUUCCUGGUGUAGCAGUGAAAUGCGUAGAUAUCAGGAGGAAUACCCGUGGCGAAGGCGGCUUCCUGGGGCACAACUGACGCUGAGAAGCGAAAGCUAGGGGAGCAAACGGG
rnacentral:rRNA from 1 species